rnacentral:piRNA from 1 species
UCUAACUUGAGGCCCAAGCUCAAGAGGAAGC